rnacentral:rRNA from 1 species
AUUGAACGCUGGCGGCAUGCCUUACACAUGCAAGUCGAACGGUAACAGGUCUUCGGAUGCUGACGAGUGGCGAACGGGUGAGUAAUACAUCGGAACGUGCCUAGUAGUGGGGGAUAACUACUCGAAAGAGUGGCUAAUACCGCAUGAGAUCUACGGAUGAAAGCAGGGGAUCGCAAGACCUUGUGCUACUAGAGCGGCCGAUGGCAGAUUAGGUAGUUGGUGGGAUAAAAGCUUGCCAAGCCGACGAUCUGUAGCUGGUCUGAGAGGACGAUCAGCCACACUGGGAAUGAGAGACGGCCCAGACUCCUAAGGGAGGAAGCAGUGGGGAAUUUUGGACAAUGGGCGCAAGCCUGAUCCAGCAAUGCCGCGUGCAGAAUGAAGGCGUUCGGGUUGUAAACUGCUUUUGUACGGAACGAAAAGCCCUGGGUUAAUACCCUGGGGUCAUGACGGUACCGUAAGAAUAAGCACCGGCUAACUACGUGCCAGCCGCCGCAGUAACAC